CCUAUACAAAACACAAUUUUGAAUAGGUUCAUUCAAUUUGUUGUGAAUGCUAUCGCUCAUUAAGGAAAGAGCUGCGGAUAUCAGCGACAAUGGACAUGUUUCGUGUUUCUGGAUCUAAUUUAAGCAAAGCGUUCGCUGUUCAACACGCUAUGCUGGUCUGCAUGUGCAUUUGGAUACAUGUAAACUGUACGAAAGAGAGAUGUGCGCUGGCAAAAUGCGAAGUUUUGCUCCUUCGACUUCAAAACAAAGCCACUUUGUUGUGUGUUAUAAGCGCUUUGUACAUUGUCGGCGCAGUGGCGUUCGCCAUCCAGUUUUAUAGAAGGCCAGAUUUAGAUGCACGGGCUCCGAGACGUCGUGUGGUUGCAUGGGUUGCUUCCUCCGCUUUCCCAGCUGUUAUUAUGUGGUUCAGCAUCAAUCAGAUAUGGAAAUUUUGCCCCUUUGCACUGCUGAUGCUUAUUCCAUAUGCUGUUUGUAUUUUCUUGCAGAUUCCUAUGUACUGGAACCUUUGGACGAAUUAAAUAGUUUGCCUUAUACAAGACUCUGCAGUAUGUUACAAAUUCAAACAUGCGAUUCUGAAACAACGCACUUCACUAUCUUUAAAGAAUUAUCAAAUACCGUUUUGCUUCAUUUGUUUUGUUUCAUAUUUUAUAUUGUUGUUUUCAAGUUCGAACACUACAUUUUAAUACUGCAGAUUGUUACAAUAUCUGGUUGUAAGCAUAUAUAUUAAUACACAUGUGUGUGUGUGUGUGCUUGCGUGCGUGUGUACGUUCGAGCGUAGGUGUGUGUUUGUUUGUUUUAUCUGUAUAUGUCCUUGCUAUGUUGUAACGUACACUAUUAUCGGAGAAGCAAUACAACAAUGCUUUACAUUAUAAGUAAUUAUUGUAAGACCGAAAAAAUGUGACAGCAUUAUAUUAAGUGUCGCCAUAACGAAGCCGUAAUGAUAAAAGUGUUAUAACCUUUUCCCUUUAUACUAAGCAAGUUAUUUAC